GACAGAGGAUGCAAGUGUUAUCCGGAAUCACUGGGCGUAAAGCGUCUGUAGGUGGUUUAAUAAGUCAACUGUUAAAUCUUGAGGCUCAACCUCAAAAUCGCAGUCGAAACUAUUAGGCUAGAGUAUAGUAGGGGUAAAGGGAAUUUCCAGUGGAGCGGUGAAAUGACGUAGAGAUUGGAAAGAACACCGAUGGCGAAGGCAGGUCUUGGGCAUUAACUGGACGCUGAGGAGCGAAAGCAUGGGGAGCGAACGAGGA
rnacentral:rRNA from 1 species